GGAAAAAAAAAAAAAAAAAAAAAAGAACAGAAUUGCAGCUUGAGAUUGGGUUGAUUCUAGUUUUAGGAUUAAAAAAAAAAAAAACAAAAAUGCUAACAUGGAAGUACUUAAAAUCCCCACUGAAAACACUAGGGACUUAAUGGAAUGUAGUUACAUAGUGGUAGUAAGGUUGUGUUGUUGCAAACAAUGAAAGUAGUACUUCAUCUCCCUUACUUCUGCUUUUUUAUUCUCCAAGGAUUUUUUCUGAGUGUUUUACAAGCAUAGUGGCUGUACUAAUCUUCUCAUGUAAAUGAAUGCACGUCACAAGACAGUAUCUACAGGCUUACUGGUGUUAAUGUCAAUCUGAUUACCUGUGUUUUCUUAGUCAGCAUUGUGCUUCUAGUCACAACACUGUUACAUGUGUGAUGAAGUGUUUGAUAACGUACUUGGAUGAGGCCUUUCUACAGGAUCUUGAGAUCUGUUGAUCUCCAUUUUACAAAAUAAAUCAUAGCUAAAAUUCAGUGAAGACCUUCCUAUAUUUUAACCUGCGUCAAAUAUGCUUGAAUCCAUUAUCCAAGCACAGUUGGGAAACGGAUCACAGCUCUUGCUUGCUGCCAUGUUGCUGUGAUCUUUGGCAGCUAGAACACCUUUUCUAAGGGGGAGAAAGAAUGACUGAGAAUGGCUUGAAUUAAAUAUGUAUCUCAUCUUUAUAGAGGAGUCAAGAAGAGAUUAAAAUCAUAAAAGCAUUUCCUGAGGCACAUAAUCUACCUAGACCUAAAUUAUUCAGAAAAUCGUAACUUUUUUUUCUGAAACUUUGAAAUACAUGUGCUGUAACUUCAGUGAAGCAUCUGUGAGUUCGUUGUUUUUAUACUGGCAUGAAAUGAAAUAUAUCUUAAUUUGGGAUUUCUAACUGGGUAUUUUAUAAAGAUGCUGUACACUAACUGUUCACACUUAAAUAUUUCCAACACAAAGAUAUCAAUGGCCAGGCCAUAAGCAUUGCAUAAAUUUAUCUAAAAAUGCAACAGAUAAUCAGUUAAAUUAUUACAAAUCAAUCCUUGAAUAAUUGUAAUAAAUUCUGUAAAAAAAGCAUCGUAGUUUACCUUUGUGUGGAGCAAGCAAAGUGUAGUAAUUUUCCAAAUGUAUUUCUAUUUUGUUUACCUUGAUCAAACUCAGAUGUUUAGUACAUGCAUGCAAGGAAUAGUCAAGCAUGUCUUUGGAUUUGGAAGUGAUGCAUGUCAUCUCUUUUGGCUUCUUUUAUCAAAGAGCUAAUUAAAAAUCAAAGUAAUAUAAACAGUCAAAAUGAAACCUUCAAUAGAAUUUAAGUUGUAUGCUACUGCCAUGAGAAGCAUUUUUUAUAUGGCUCCAAAAAUAAGAAUUCCAGAGCUUGUUUUGAAUUCAGAAAUGAAACUUGCAAUGAAGUUUUAGACUAAACUCAAGAUGCUCGCUUAAGGUUUAAAAAAUAAAUUGUUCUUUGAUGUUCAACUUUGGAUGCUCUCUUUGGGGUGAGGGGAGACAAAUCUAGUUGCAUUUGAUGUCAUUGGUAUAGAAGUAUUUGUUCAUCUUAAACUUCAGAACUAUGAGCAAAAAGCAGGCCUUCUUUGAGUACUAAUAGAGAUGUUUGGUGACUUACCUUCUUUAAUUACUAUCUCAGUAGUACAAACAUCCCUUGUUCUUACAGUGACGUGAUGCUCGCGUGGAUAAGUAAGAAUAGGAAUUCAUCUUUUUCUGUGGCUGGUUUUUUUGCUGUUAAAGUUAAGAAUAUAGUGCAGAAAAGAAGGUACAAAAGUACAUUCUGCUAGUACAUUCAAUGUCUUUGCUCUCUGAAACAUAAUCAAAAUUGUUUAUUCAAUAUUUGUAGAACAUUUGACUGUCAGGCCAUUAAUAAAAUGUCUUUUUUUGAGAACAUUCAUAUCUUAGCUGGAGCAAUAAAAAUUCUGUUGUAAAUAAGCAACAUACUCAGAUAACUUUGGGUAGUUUGGGAAAAGCUUUUCAUAGAAAAUGUGAUACUGGCAUUCUUCAAAAAUUUUGAUUGGAAUUUUUUAAUGUUAUAUUAAUAAUAAUAGAGCUGGUUUGAUGUGUCCUUUUUCAUAUUUGCUCUAUUAACAGUAAUAACUAUUAUAUUUAGUUACGGUUUCUGGAUGUCUGCACUGAAUUUUUUUAGGAGUGCACUAGAGACAAAAAUCCAAUUUUUCCUUCCUUUUCUUUAUCUCCAUUUUACUUCCUCCCCUUCCUUUGGAUUCCAUGGAAUUUCUUCUUCAUGUUUUGUUGUUCAAGCGUAUUGCAUUGAAUGCAACACUGUAUUUCCCGCUAUCACUAAGAAAUUUUAAAUUCCUGUUAUCAUUACAUGCAAGUCCUUUUGCAGGUUUAUUAUAUUUCCCUCAGGCCAUUGUCUCAGCCCUCUUUUAUAUCAAAUGAUUAUGAUAUAAAUGGAUCUUGUAUUUUAAAUGAGUACUGAUGUAAAUUGCUAAUGGUGUAAUAGUGUAUUUUGUGGUUGUAUUUGUUGCUUUUUAACUUUAUGAAUGUUGAUUCCCAAGGAAUAAAGAUUUACUGUGGAGGAAA